rnacentral:lncRNA from 1 species
GAAUUCUAGACACCUCAAUCAUCGCACCCUAUCAUCCAUAAAAUCAACAACAAUAUCAUCAUCAACAUCAUCAUCAACAACAGCAAAAACCCAUAUCACGGAUUUCGACGCGGAAAAAGAAGAAGAAGAAGAAGUAGCAACAAAAGGGUCAAAAUCUUAUGCCCUUCAUUCCUUUAUGUAUGUUAUAUAUAUGUAUGUAUGUAUGUGUCUGUAUACAUACUGCAAAAUCGUUUCAAUUUUCAUCAAAAGUUUCAAUGCAACAGCUUUACCAAACGACCCUUAAGAAAAAUGGUGGUUUAUUGUUUCACCCUUUUUUUAGCUGGAAAAUGGAAAUCAACGGCGAAACAGAGAGAGGGCAACCACCAUUAAAAGACUCCCCAAUAUCUCUCUGUUUGCCUCAUUUCAAGGAUUCAUAUAUAUAUAUAUAUAUAUAGAGAGAGAGAGAGAGAGAGAGAUGUAUGUGUAAGUGUAUGUGUAUACAUACUGCAGUUAACUUCCCGAUUAUAAGGCUCAGAUCAGUAUAAUCAGAGCAAAGGAGACAAUGCAUCCGCCAUGGCUGCAUACCUCGGUUGCACUACAAACAGUACCUUCCAGGUCGCCCCGCCAAGAUACGAACCCAGCUCCCUUGCCCCAUGAACUCUAGACAGCUUAAUCAUCACAGCCUCUCAUCCAUAACACCAAACACAUCAACACCACCAAUAAUAAUAACAACAACUACAAUUUCAAUGCCAGCAAAACUCUUUCGAAGGAUGAUGAUGACAAUGAAGAAACAGCAAAAGGUUUAGGGUUUGGCCUCAGCUGCACUAAAGACCAGCUCAGACCUCAUCUGCCAAGGCUGCAGACCUCAGCUGCUCUACAAACAGUACCUUCCCGGUCCCCCCACCAAGAUACAGAGCCAGCUCCCCUUUGCCCCAU